CCUACGGGUGGCAGCAGUGAGGAAUAUUGGUCAAUGGACGAGAGUCUGAACCAGCCAAGUAGCGUGAAGGAUGACUGCCCUAUGGGUUGUAAACUUCUUUUAUAAAGGAAUAAAACGCGGCACGUGUGCCUUUUUGCAUGUACUUUAUGAAUAAGGAUCGGCUAACUCCGUGCCAGCAGCCGCGGUAAUACGGAGGAUCCGGGCGUUAUCCGGAUUUAUUUGGUUUAAAGGGAGCGUAGAUGGGUUGGUAAGUCAGUUGUGAAAGUUUGCGGCUCAACCGUAAAAUUGCAAUUGAUACUGGCAGUCUUGAGUACAGUUGAGGUAGGCGGAAUUCGUGGUGUAGCGGUGAAAUGCUUAGAUAUCACGAAGAACCCCGAUGGCGAAGGCAGCUUACUAAACUGUGACUGACAUUGAUGCUCGAAAGUGUGGGUAUCAAACAGGAUUAGAUACCCGAGUAGUC
rnacentral:rRNA from 1 species